GACGAACGCUGGCGGCGUGCUUAACACAUGCAAGUCGAACGGAAAGGCCCCUUUGGGGGUACUCGAGUGGCGAACGGGUGAGUAAAACGUGAGUAACCUGCCCUUGACUUCGGGAUAACUUCAGGAAACUGGGGCUAAUACCGGAUAGGAAUCCUUGCUGCAUGGUGGGGGUUGGAAAGCUUCGGCGGUUUUGGAUGGACUCGCGGCUUAUCAGCUUGUUGGUGGGGUAGUGGCUUACCAAGGCUUUGACGGGUAGCCGGCCUGAGAGGGCGACCGGCCACAUUGGGACUGAGAUACGGCCCAGACUCCUACGGGAGGCAGCAGUGGGGAAUAUUGCACAAUGGGCGGAAGCCUGAUGCAGCAACGCCGCGUGCGGGAUGACGGCCUUCGGUUUGUAAACCGCUUUCAGCAGGGGCGAAUCUUGUGGUGACGGUACCUGCAGAAGAAGCACCGGCUAACUACGUG
rnacentral:rRNA from 1 species